GGAGAGGUGUCCGAGCUGGCUUAAGGAGCACGAUUGGAAAUCGUGUGGGGGACGAAAGUCUCCUCGCGGGUUCGAAUCCCGCCCUCUCCG
rnacentral:tRNA from 1 species